UGAGCGUGACAACACCCAUUUUUGUGGUCAGGCAGGAAGAAGAACUAUUCUACAGUGUGUUGUUAUGAGAUAAGAAAAGAGGAAUUUACACAAACAUGUGACUGACAUUUUGCACAUUUUGCAUUUCACUUACCUCUAAAUGUCCUUUAGUCACAGCUGAGGAAACGUUUCUGUAUAUGUUCACUUCGAGGUUGGUAAAGAACUGUUUGUUGUUUGUUUGUUUUUCUUGCUUUGUAACAUAAUACUAUACAAUAUGUUGAAGGUCUGAUAUUUAUUAAGUUGUACUAUAUACCAUUCGUUCAUUUUUUUAAAGUUACACAUCCAAUAUCUGAGUAGUUUUAACCUAUAACAGCCUGACGGUGCAGAACUUUUUGAAUGGCAGCAGCAUGUUUUCUGUCAGUGCUGACAUAGUUUUAAACUGAAAUUACAGAGCAACAUAUGAUUAAAAGGUAUAGUUUAAAUGACUAUUUGUGUUGUUAUCUUUAAUAACAAGAUAAAAACAGUAAAUCAUUUGUAAUUUCCCAAAUUUCAGCAAUUUCACAACAUUUAGCGUGAAUCCAAAUUAUGGGUGAGUGCCAGAAGAAACCUGUUUUAAUAUUUUACCUUUUUUUGUUUGUUUUGUAAUCCCUGUAAUGACAUGGCUCCUUUCUGCUCGUCAUGCAGCUUGCUAAGCUUCUACUUUCAACUUCUUAUAGGUUUAAGGUAAAAAAAAAAAACGUCUAUUUCCGGCCGCCAUCUUUGUUUAGUUUGAGAACCAACCUCAUCUACAGAGGAGCAAGUCUUUUUUGUGAAAGACAGACAGCAUUUGUUCCUGGUAAGUCAGGAAUUCGUCAUCAUCAGAGCAGCUCAGGAGCAUUUCCAGCAGAUUUCGAUCAGC